rnacentral:lncRNA from 12 species
AAGGAGAAGAGCCUUUUCAGAAAAAACACCCUGGGAGAUGAAGCCUUGCUUGUUAGAAUAUGCUGAGUCAGCAGCAACACAUCAGGGUCCUGGAGUCCAACUCCCUGGCCCUGCACAGGACACCACAAGAAUCACACCCUGUGUCCAAGAGCGUUGUCCAAAUGCUUCUUGAACUCCUGCUACAGUGGCCACGGGCCACGAGAGCCUGUUCCAGUGCUUGAGCGCUCUCUGGGGCAAGAAUGUUUUCCAGGCUAAAGCUUCCUCAACUCAGCUUCAUGCUGUUUCCUUGCAUCCCGACACUGAAUGUCUGUUUAACCUGUAACAAAAGAACUAUGACAGUUGAUAUUGAGGCCUUGGAACCUGAAAUGUUUCACUAUCCUCACAGCAAAUCGGCUCCAUCUCAGAACCCCACCAGCACCAGCCAAGCGCCAUCUCCGGGACCUUCUGAGACAGAUGCUCCAGCAAGAUCUGCUCAGAAACGGCCUCUGGCUUCUGACUUCACCAGUCCUGUGCUGAGCAAGAAGAGGCGAAUUGGUCACCAGCAGUUCACCAGUCAUGUCCAGCCAGCAGCUGGUGGUCUCUCUUCUUCCUGGGUGCUGCCUUCAACAGUCCUUUUUACUCCGAACAUGUCUCCAAGGGUUGGCUCCAUUUCC